GUAGGUGGCAAGCGUUGUCCGGAAUUAUUGGGCGUAAAGCGCGCGCAGGCGGUUCUUUAAGUCUGAUGUGAAAGCCCACGGCUCAACCGUGGAGGGUCAUUGGAAACUGGAGAACUUGAGUACAGAAGAGGAAAGCGGAAUUCCACGUGUAGCGGUGAAAUGCGUAGAGAUGUGGAGGAACACCAGUGGCGAAGGCGGCUUCCUGGUCUGUAACUGACGCUGAGGCGCGAAAGCGUGGGGAGCAAACAGGGAUUAGAUACCCUGGUAGUCCACGCCGUAAACGAUGAGUGCUAAGUGUUAGGGGGGUUUCCGCCCCCUUAGUGCUGCAGCUAACGCAUUAAGCACUCCGCCUGGGGAGUACGGCCGCAAGGCUG
rnacentral:rRNA from 1 species